GCUCAUCUCACAAGUUCUUUGUGAAGUAGGGUCCCAGGUUGAAGAAUAUGCUAUGGAGGAUUUCUUGCUUAUGUAUCAGGUAUUAUAUAAGCCUCCCAGAGUGAGAGGUGAGACCUUAUUCAUCUGCUUUAAUAGUGCUUAAAGCAUCAGUCACAGGGCUUUAGUCAGGUCUACUACUUGGUUAAGCAUGUGGUCUUCUAGGUUAAGUCUGUGGACUUCUUCCCCCAGACCCACCUGUUUCUCCAGAAGGCAGACUGGUGAAUAAAUGGAAAUAUGGCUUCCUCCCACCCAGAGAACACUGUGUGCAAGACACCAUCCUGGAGGAAGAGAAUAGCCCCACCAGACAAACCUCCUGGAGCCUUGGCCAUAGAAUUCCCAGCCUCCAUAACUUUUAGGAAAAUUCUGUUGACCUAUAAUGAAGUUUACAGAUUUUUCCUCAUAUCUGUCCAGUCUACGGAUUAGAUCUUCAAAGAGAUGAAAUCCCACUAUUUUGCCCAGGCUCAUCUAUAACUUCUGAGCUCAAGACAUCCUCCUGCUUUGACCUUCCAAAGUGCUGGGAUAGGGGACAGCAUUGAAUUCAGAGCCUCACAAUUGCUGUGUUCUACUUCGCCUAGCAACCAGAGAUGAUCCCUGCAACAUGCUGCUGUUGCUGGGAGUGGGAAAGAGGUGGCAUCGGCGGUUCAAGACUGAGUUUUCUAUCUCUUCAGUGCCUCUUUCAACAAUGAAGAUCAAACCAGGUUUUGUGCAAAUAUCUGCUGAGUGAACUACUUAUUUGAAAAUACAUCAUUGGUUAAUAUUCCCUUUUGCUCAUUGAAAUCUCAAAGACUACAGGUGUGGUGCAAUUCCAUUAGAUGAAAGAGAUCUACACAUUCAGAAGCACAUGAUUCUUCCCCCUUCCAUGAUUCCAGUGGCCAAUAGAAUGGAGUGUAGUGGCGUGAUCUUGGCUCACAACAACUUCUGCUUCCCACAUUCAAGCGAUCCUCCCACCUUAUACUCCUGAGUAGCUGGAACCACAGACAAACUACAAUAAAGCCAUGCCCUGACUGGAUGUGCCUAACAUUUGUCUGGUGCUUAAAGGAGUUGGCUGCAUGCGUGGAAAUGUUGGAAAGUCACCAAAAAUAGUUCUCCAAGUCAGAAGCGGUGCAAAAGCUGCCUCAGCUCUUGGUGGAUUUUCAAUUUCUCCCAGCCAUCUCUGUUUCGCUAAAGGUUUCUGAAGACAGUGGAAUGCUGUUGAAGACACCACCUUGAUAAAACAAAAACAUCAGCCAAAUUAAAUUUAAAGGAGUUUAAUUGAGCAAAGAAUUAUUCAUGAAUCAAGCAGUCUUCCAAGCCAGAGUAGGCUCAAAUACUCCAGCACAGCCACGUGGUGGAAGAUUUAUGGACAAAAGAAGAAAAGUAACAUAUAGAAAAUGGAAAUGAGGGGAAGCUUUUUUCUCCUCCCCAUCCUGAUCACUAGUAUGAGAAGGGGUGCUAAUGGACCAGCCUUGGCCUUGCAGAUGAAGAUGAUGAAGGAAGAAGAUGUAUAAAGAACCUCUGAAAGAGUCCCAGUUUUACAUUUCAAAGUCUUUUUCCUUCUGUUGUUUAUUGUGUUGGGUUGGAGUGGAGGAUAUUUGAUGGAGAAUUGAUUCUGAAACUUGCCAAAAUAUGGAUAAUACUUUGCUCCUUUUCCAUUGUGGGUUAUCACAAAGAAGAGUUUCACUUUUAGUCAUCUAUUUACAGGUACGGCAAUAGCUAUUUUCUUUUUCUUUUUUUUAUUUUAGGUUUUAUUUUAGGUACAUGUGAAGGUUUCUUGUAUAGGUAAACUAGUGUCAUGUGGGAUUGUUGCACAGAUUAUUUUAUCAACCAGGUAUUAAGGAAGCUCAGUACCCAAUAGUUAUAUUUUCUGCUCCUCUCCCUCAUCCCACUCUCCACCCUGAGGUCGACCCCAGUGUCUGUUGUUUCCUUCUUUCUGUUAAUGAGUUCUCAUCAUUUAGCUCCCACUUAUAAGUGAGAACAUGUGCUAUGUGUUUUUCUGUUCCUGUGUUAGUUGGCUAAGGAUAAUGGCCUCCAGCUCCAUUUUUGUUUCCCUCUCCAGCAUCUGUUUUUUUUUUUAAUUUUUAGUAAUAUCCAUUCUGACUGGUAUGAGAUGGUAUCUCAUUGUGGUUCUGACUUGCAUUUCUGUAAUGGUCAAUGAUGUUCAGCUUUUCUUUUCAUGUGCUUGUUGCCCACAUGUAUGUUUUGUUUUGAAAAGUGUUUGUUCGUGUCCUUUAUCCACUUUUCAAUGGGGUUGUUUGCUUUUCUCUCGUAAAUUUGUUUAAUUUCCUUAUAGAUGUUAUGACCUAGCAGCUGUACCUUUUUUAAUUUCAAGACAUUCAAUAAACUAAGAACCAACAGCACAGUUGAUGUGUCUUUCCAUGACACCUGCCAUCUUUCCUCUCUUCAUAGCUAUAAGAAUAUUUUGGAAGAAGAGUUGCUGAUAAAUGCCACUUAGGGAAUCUCUGAGCAUCUGUUAUUAUAAAUGGUUGACUAAAAUUUAGGGUAAAGCAUCCUAUUAAAAAUGAAGUUAAGGACUUUAUGUAGAACUUUAAAAUUUGUCCCCCAAAUCCUGUUGUAUGUCAACAUAUUAUAAAAUAAAUUGUAAAUAUCAUAACUCAGCAAAAGAACAUCAUCUAAAACUCAUUAAGAAUUUAAUGUUGAGUAUAUCAGUGACACAAAAUCAUGAGGCAAGAUGGUUUAAAUAUGUUACAAAUAAUAAUAAAUAAUCAUACCCUCUGAGUUUAAAUUCUUUAUCACCCUGUAUGUACUGCCACUCAACACUUGACUUCAGGGCCAUAAUCCUUAGUGAACCCAUCUAACAUCCACCUAAAAUAAAGGUUUGGAGCCACUCUUCUAUGCUUAACAAAUAGCCUUAAGCAUCAUGAAUAAACAGAGACAGGCUAGCUCCUUUUUGCUCUAUAGCCUUAAGUAGUUCUGACCAUGACUAGAAAGACAUAGCUGCAAGCAGCCUGAUCUUUUUUUAACAUCUUGACUUUUUGCAAGGUAUUUCUAAAAUAUGUUACUAAUAUGUACUUCUUGGUUGUUUUACUAAUAUUUGAAAGAACUAAAGUUAUCAUUAGUCACGUUUCAUUUGAAACUACAGAAGCAAUAAAAACAACAAAGUUCCAAUAUAAAAUCCAUUAUUAAAUAGCUUUCAACAUAAUAGAUUAUUUACUACAAAAUAGCAA
rnacentral:lncRNA from 10 species